GACGAACGCUGGCGGCGUGCCUAAUACAUGCAAGUAGAACGCUGAAGAGAGGAGCUUGCUCUUCUUGGAUGAGUUGCGAACGGGCGAGUAACGCGUAGGUAACCUGCCUUGUAGCGGGGGAUAACUAUUGGAAACGAUAGCUAAUACCGCAUAACAAUGGAUGACACAUGUCAUUUAUUUGAAAGGGGCAAUUGCUCCACUACAAGAUGGACCUGCGUUGUAUUAGCUAGUAGGUGAGGUAAUGGCUCACCUAGGCGACGAUACAUAGCCGACCUGAGAGGGUGAUCGGCCACACUGGGACUGAGACACGGCCCAGACUCCUACGGGAGGCAGCAGUAGGGAAUCUUCGGCAAUGGGGGCAACCCUGACCGAGCAACGCCGCGUGAGUGAAGAAGGGUUUCGGAUCGUAAAGCUCUGUUGUAAGUCAAGAACGGGUGUGAGAGUGGAAAGUUCACACUGUGACGGUAGCUUACCAGAAAGGGACGGCUAACUACGUG
rnacentral:rRNA from 1 species